UUAGGUUGGUGCAAAAGUAAUUGUGGUUUCUGCCAUUGAAAGUAAUGGCAAAAACUGCAAUAAUUCCGUUUGCACCAACCUAAUAA
ensembl:miRNA